rnacentral:rRNA from 1 species
AGUGAACGCUGGCGGUAGGCCUAACACAUGCAAGUCGAACGGCAGCACAGUAAGAGCUUGCUCUUACGGGUGGCGAGUGGCGGACGGGUGAGGAAUACAUCGGAAUCUACUUUUUCGUGGGGGAUAACUUAGGGAAACUUACGCUAAUACCUCAUACGACCUACGGGUGAAAGCAGGGGAUCUUCGUACCUUGCGCGAUUGAAUGAGCCGAUGUCGGAUUAGCUAGUUGGCGGGGUAAAGGCCCACCAAGGCGACGAUCCGUAGCUGGUCUGAGAGGAUGAUCAGCCACACUGGAACUGAGACACGGUCCAGACGCCUACGGGAGGCAGCAGGGGGGAAUAUGGGACAAGGGGCGCAAGCCUGAUCCAGCCAUACCGCGGGGUGAAGAAGGCCUUCGGGUUGUAAAGCCCUUUUGUUGGGAAAGAAAAGCAGCAGGUUAAUACCCCGCUGUUCUGACGGUACCCAAAGAAUAAGCACCGGCUAACUUCGUG